rnacentral:rRNA from 1 species
AUUGAACGCCGGCGGCAUGCCUUACACAUGCAAGCCGAGCGGCAGCGGGAAAGUAGCUUGCUACUUUUGCCGGCGAGCGGCGGACGGGUGAGUAAUGCCUGGGAAAUUGCCCAGUCGAGGGGGAUAACAGUUGGAAACGACUGCUAAUACCGCAUACGCCCUACGGGGGAAAGCAGGGGACCUUCGGGCCUUGCGCGAUUGGAUAUGCCCAGGUGGGAUUAGCUAGUUGGUGAGGUAAUGGCUCACCAAGGCGACGAUCCCUAGCUGGUCUGAGAGGAUGAUCAGCCACACUGGAACUGAGACACGGUCCAGACUCCUACGGGAGGCAGCAGUGGGGAAUAUUGCACAAUGGGGGAAACCCUGAUGCAGCCAUGCCGCGUGUGUGAAGAAGGCCUUCGGGUUGUAAAGCACUUUCAGCGAGGAGGAAAGGUUGAUGCUUAAUACGUAUCAACUGUGACGUUACUCGCAGAAGAAGCACCGGCUAACUCCGUGCCAGCCGCCGCAGUAA